AACACACCUUAUGUUGACAUAAAAAUGAAGCAACAUAUACGCGAAACGGACCCGUUUUUAAAAAAAAUCAUAUGCUGGGCUCAUCCACACGAGACAGUUUCUCAGACCUCUUGUCCAGAAGGUAAGCCAAAACAGAGCCUGAGACAUCUCAUGAAACACGUCAUAUGCCAGUUCUCAUGACUCUCUACAAACUGCAGAUCAGCAGGAAAUAAAGCACAAGAAAUGCUACAUUGGAGCAUGGUGAAUAUGUAUUGCUUGGCAACCUUCAAGAAAUGGUUCAAUUUUUGGUUCAGAUUCUGCCUUGCCCUCGGUAAAGGGACCUCCGAGAUGGAAAAGAUUAUAUUUGUGCAAAUCACGUGUGCAAAGCCCAAAUAAAGCAUGAAAAUUACACAUCUUCACUUGAUCAACCUGCUUUGUUUUUUGAAAUGAAAAGGGAGGUUUCUGUGGGAACUGGUU